GACGAACGCUGGCGGCGUGCUUAACACAUGCAAGUCGAACGGAAAGGCCCUGCUUUUGUGGGGUGCUCGAGUGGCGAACGGGUGAGUAACACGUGAGUAACCUGCCCUUGAUUUUGGGAUAACUUCAGGAAACUGGGGCUAAUACCAGAUAGGAGCUCCUGCUGCAUGGUGGGGGUUGGAAAGUUUCGGCGGUUGGGGAUGGACUCGCGGCUUAUCAGCUUGUUGGUGGGGUAGUGGCUUACCAAGGCUUUGACGGGUAGCCGGCCUGAGAGGGUGACCGGCCACAUUGGGACUGAGAUACGGCCCAGACUCCUACGGGAGGCAGCAGUGGGGAAUAUUGCACAAUGGGCGGAAGCCUGAUGCAGCAACGCCGCGUGCGGGAUGACGGCCUUCGGGUUGUAAACCGCUUUCGCCUGUGACGAAGCGUGAGUGACGGUAAUGGGUAAAGAAGCACCGGCUAACUACGUG
rnacentral:rRNA from 1 species